UACCAGACUCCUACGGGAGGCAGCAGUGAGGAAUAUUGGUCAAUGGGCGCGAGCCUGAACCAGCCAAGUAGCGUGAAGGAUGACUGCCCUACGGGUUGUAAAUCUCUUUUGUCAGGGAGCAACGCCGGCUACGUGUAGCCGGACUGGGAGUACCUGAAGAAAAAGCAUCGGCUAACUCCGUGCCAGCAGCCGCGGUAAUACGGAGGAUGCGAGCGUUAUCCGGAUUUAUUGGGUUUAAAGGGUGCGCAGGCGGAGGUGCAAGUCAGCGUUCAAAUUGCGGGGCUCAACCCCGUACUGCCGUUGAAACUGCAUCCCUUGAGUGCGCGAGAAGUAUGCGGAAUGCGUGGUGUAGCGGUGAAAUGCAUAGAUAUCACGCAGAACUCCGAUUGCGAAGGCAGCAUACCGGCGCGCAACUGACGCUCAUGCACGAAAGCGUGGGUAUCGAACAGGAUUAGAUACCCUGGUAAAA
rnacentral:rRNA from 1 species